UACACCAUCUCCUACAUCUUCUCACUCUGAUUUCACGAGUCACGACGACGACCCUCAUCUUACGCCUUUUCUCUUCAAACAACAGAAAAAUCUGAAAUCAACAAUUUCAUCUACUUCGAUUGUGACUCACGUUGCUUAGUUUCACUGCUUAUAUAGUGAUUCAUGAUCCACAAUUUCAUCUCGCUUCAACUCGUGAGUCAGAGUCACGAUCCACAAUGUCGUCUUCUUCGUGAGUCACGAUUCUCAGUUUCCCCUAAGAACACGUUUCCUCCUCUUUCUACAUGCUUCGAAUCUUUUAAUCGUCGAACCCUAAUCCCAAAUCUCGAAUCUGGCAUUAAACUUACAAUCGAAACAGAACGUGACCUAGAUGAACCCUAAUUUGGUUUUUCAGCUUCCAAUCGAAGCUAAUAGGAUCAAAAAAGUGUUACAAAAAGGAUGAAGAAUGUUGCAGCAAAAGGAAUUGCUUGAUUAAUGAAGCUACAGAGAUCUAUAAAUUGAAGUAUAAAUUUAAGGAGGAGGCAAAGAAGAUUGAAUAUUGAAGCAGCAAUGAAAACCAAGACAAAUGAGGUUCGGCUUAUGUGCUGUGUAGAGGCUUAUUAUAUGAUGUGAAUUAUUUUGAUUCAAGGAGAAUUUACAUAUGGUGUGUGAUGCUGCAAGAUGUUUUAUGCAGGUUCCAGGGUGAAAAUGGUCUUCAGUGGCACAACCUGAAUCACCGUUGAGAUUGAGAGAGAGUUGCAUAAACUUUAGUAGAGCCAGAGGAAUAGCUAAGAGUUGCUUCACUAUAUGAUGAGGAGAGGGGUCAACAUAAACGUUGGUAGAACUGGAAGAAUAUACAAAAGCUGAUACUACUUAAUGAAAGAGGGAGGAUCAACCCCUUUGCGGCACUUUCAUUUUAGAAGAACUGGUUUUGCAUUGGAGAAAUACGAUGAAAAGAAAUUACGAUCAAAGAGAGGUUGGAAUUGAUAAUGAUCAUUUAAAGAAAGUAACAUAAGGCAUGUUGUAGGUGAUUCUUCAUAUGAUUAAGUAGCCAAGAUUGUGGGGGUAUUGAAAGGAAAUUUACUAUUUUACAGUUUGCUCAAUUUUAGUUGUAUUUAUAGUUUUGAGAAAAUAUUGUUUUAGUUUGUAUUAAAAAGUCAUGGGAGCAUUAACCAUGACUUUAGGUGUUUUAUAGUUUUUUAUUUGAAUAAGUCUUCAGGUGUUUUAUAGUAGCAGUACAUGUUUGCUACU